CAGUCGGGUGCUGAGGGCAAGCGCUUCCUCCUGGAGCUCACUGUUUCUCCUGUUACACUGCUCUAGUUCAGCGCAUUUGGUGCGGAGCGUGUCCUGCCAUCUUUCCUCCUCUGCCUUCACAGCAGAGGACACCUGGAAGCAGGGGGCUGCUUUUGUACUCGGGGAGAGAGGUCAAGUCCUGGAGCCAUCGAGAACGAGCCCUUGAUAUCGCACCUUCAACCUAGACAAGGCAGAACUGAUUAGAAACGGUAAAACCUGACAAAAUGAGAUAAAAAAAAAAAGCUGGAACGGAAAAUACAUAGGAAAAAAAAUAAGCAAAAAUAUGCAAUUUGGUACAGUAUUUAUACGGCCAAAAAGUAAGAUGAAUUUCAAUGAGAUCUUUUUAACUGUAUAGCAGACUACUUUCAUAAAAUUCAUAUAAAUAUCACUCUAUUCUAACAUGAAUUUCUAAAUAAUGAUGCAUGGAUAAUCAGGUAAACCAAAGUUACUUCAGUCUAGUAAGUGUUCAUAUUAUGAAAUGUUACUAAUAAGAAAAGUUUUAAGUGCUUCGUAAAAAAAAAAAGACUUUUAAUUGUAAAAAAUAUUAAUAACAUUAAUAACGAGUAUAUUUUAAUCUCGAUAAUGAUAUCCGCCUUUCUAGAUUAAUUAAAGAUAAUCAUCACGAUAUUGGCCGGCUCGUUAUUUAUUCUAAAACGUGUUUUUAAUUUGGCCUUUGCGUUAAUUUGCAUGGCUAACAAGUCUUCACUAGCGUUCAUGAUUGUGGUUGCCAGAUGUGAAGCGCUUUAAGCCCCAAAACAGAGCUUUGCUCCUGUAAGGAUACACUUUCUGCCCGGUGUUUUAUUUAAUUUGUGCAAUCUGGCAACCCUGUGCACGCUCACUGAUGGCAGAGCAAGUGCUGAUGAUGAUAUGAAAACAUACGAGUUUAGCGAUCUGCACUGUUUGUGUUUUCAAUGAAAUGUGCCAUGAUCAAACUUUCACUGAGUUUCAAUAAUUGCGCUUUUCCAACCUGUGAUAAUACAAUGGGGAAAAAUUUACAUAAAUUGGAAUUGUUGGAAUUUAUAUUAAGAGUUUCUAAAGUGUUUUAUUUUUUAUUUUUUUUACCAGUUUUAGUGUUGAAAAUGGCAUAGCAAUGUAAGUUUUCAGUGUGUAUUAACGAUCUUUGAGCAAAUUUACUGUGUGAUCUGAGUGGCUUUUUCCCAUUUGCGAACAAAUUAUCUCUUAGAAAAUGUAAUGUGAAUACAGAUGACAAAACACCAUGAGUUUUGUGUUAUCAUAGUUGGUAAAUGAAGUCGGUGUAUAGUCAGUGGAGGUUGGUUAAAGGACACAUUAAAUGUUAUUGCAUUUCCCUGCUGAAAAAUUUUAGUUGGUCAUCCAGCCGGUCUUUAGUGGUCAGAUGGCUGGUUUUAGAGGGGUAUUGACCACAAUGUUUUUAUUUUUUCAGCAGGACAGAAUAAUCGUUAUUAAUAAUCGUGAUUAUAAUUUUAAUCAAAAUAAUCAUGAUUAUCAGUUUAACCAUUAUCGUGCAGCCCUAGCUUAUAUUAGAAUGUGUGCAACAGGCUUUUCAACAGCAUUUUUCUUCAUAUUAGCCCUAUAUUAAAUAUACAUGCUAUUUUUACUGA